UGGGGAAUAUUGCACAAUGGGCGCAAGCCUGAUGCAGCCAUGCCGCGUGUAUGAAGAAGGCCUUCGGGUUGUAAAGUACUUUCAGCGGGGAGGAAGGGAGUAAAGUUAAUACCUUUGCUCAUUGACGUUACCCGCAGAAGAAGCACCGGCUAACUCCGUGCCAGCAGCCGCGGUAAUACGGAGGGUGCAAGCGUUAAUCGGAAUUACUGGGCGUAAAGCGCACGCAGGCGGUUUGUUAAGUCAGAUGUGAAAUCCCCGGGCUCAACCUGGGAACUGCAUCUGAUACUGGCAAGCUUGAGUCUCGUAGAGGGGGGUAGAAUUCCAGGUGUAGCGGUGAAAUGCGUAGAGAUCUGGAGGAAUACCGGUGGCGAAGGUGGCCCCCUGGACGAAGACUGACGCUCAGGUGCGAAAGCGUGGGGAGCAAACAGG
rnacentral:rRNA from 1 species